rnacentral:rRNA from 1 species
GACGGAGGAUGCAAGCGUUAUCCGGAAUUAUUGGGCGUAAAGCGUCCGUAGGCGGUUUCAAAAGUCUGUUGUUAAAGCCCACAGCUCAACUGUGGAUCGGCAAUGGAAACUGUGAGACUAGAGAGUGGUAGGGGUAGAGGGAAUUCCUAGUGUAGCGGUGAAAUGCGUAGAUAUUAGGAAGAACACCAGUGGCGAAGGCGCUCUACUGGGCCGUAACUGACGCUGAGGAGCGAAAGCAUGGGGAGCGAACAGG